rnacentral:rRNA from 1 species
UACGUAGGCAGCAAACGUUGUCCGGAGUUACUGGGCGUAAAGAGUGCGUAGGCGGUUCGCCAAGUUCGGUGUGAAAUCUCCCGGCUUAACUGGGAGGGUGCGCCGAAAACUGGCGGGCUUGAGUGUGGGAGAGGGAAGCGGAAUUCCUGGUGUAGCGGUGAAAUGCGUAGAUAUCAGGAGGAACACCGGUGGUGUAGACGGCUUCCUGGACCACAACUGACGCUGAGGCACGAAAGCGUGGGUAGCAAACAGG